rnacentral:rRNA from 1 species
AACCAGGAUGUUGGCUUAGAAGCGGCCUCUCAUUGAAAGAGUGCGUAAUAGCUCACUGGUCGAGUGAUCCUGCGCCGAAGAUUUCCGGGGCUAAAACUUACUACCGAAGCUACGGCAUCAGUAAUGAGGGGUAGGGGAGCUUCCCAUACGGGUUGAAGCAUGACCGUAAGGACAUGUGGACAGUAUGGGAGUGAGAAUGUUGGCAUGAGUAGCGAGAUGUGGGUGAGAAUCCCACAGGCCGUAAACCCAAGGUUUCCAGGGGAAGGUUCGUCCGCCCUGGGUUAGUCGGGACCUAAGCUGAGGCCGAAAGGCGUAGGUGAUGGACAACAGGUUGAUAUUCCUGUACUACCGAUAACC